AUUAGCAGUAUAAAAUAAGGCACCACUUAAGAACACUUCUAUAUGUUAUAUUUUAUAAAUAUACUUCUAUAUAUUUCUGUACUUUGUCUCUUGAAACAGAGCACUGGCUUUAAAAGAAACAUUACCAGCAUAACCAGUAUAACUGGUUCCGGACACAAGACUAGGCCUGUUGCAAUGAUCAAUAUAUGUACAUGACCUCAAUCAUUUUUGGUGCUGCAACAUAUCGGCCAUUAUAUUUACUUAAAUAUUAAUGUCACCAUGUUUUGUACAUUCCACUUGCGCCCAUGUUUUCUGCAGCUUCUCGUACAUAACGUGGUGUAGUCAUGAGGAGCUAGUUCAAACAAAAGAAAAGUG